rnacentral:rRNA from 2 species
UUAGUACGAGAGGACCGGGAUGGACAUACCUCUGGUGUACCAGUUGUCGUGCCAACGGCAUAGCUGGGUAGCUAUGUAUGGACGGGAUAAGUGCUGAAAGCAUCUAAGCAUGAAGCCCCCCUCAAGAUGAGAUUUCCCAACUUCGGUUAUAAGAUCCCUCGAAGAUGACGAGGUUAAUAGGUUCGAGGUGGAAGCGUGGUGACACGUGGAGCUGACGAAUACUAAUCGAUCGAAGACUUAAUCAA